rnacentral:rRNA from 1 species
UAGUCCAUGCCGUAAACGAUGAGAACUAGCUGUUGGAUGCCCAUUGGGUGUUUAGUAGCGCAGCUAACGCAAUAAGUUCUCCGCCUGGGGAGUACGGCCGCAAGGCUAAAACUCAAAGGAAUUGACGGGGGCCCGCACAAGCGGUGGAGCAUGUGGUUUAAUUCGAUGCAACGCGAAGAACCUUACCUACUCUUGACAUCCACGGAACCUUCUAGAGAUAGAAGGGUGCCUUCGGGAAUCGUGAGACAGGUGGUGCAUGGUUGUCGUCAGCUCGUGUCGUGAGAUGUUGGGUUAAGUCCCGCAACGAGCGCAACCCUUAUCUUUAGUAACCAGCACGUUAUGGUGGGGACUCUAGAGAGACUGCCGGGGACAACUCGGAGGAAGGUGGGGAUGACGUCAAAUCAUCAUGCCCCUUAUGACUUGGGCUACACACGUGCUACAAUGGCUGUGACAAAGGGAAGCGAGAGGGUGACCUUAAGCAAAUCUCAAAAAAGCAGCCCCAGUUCGGA